rnacentral:rRNA from 1 species
GGCUCAGGAUGAACGCUGGCGGUAUGCCUAACACAUGCAAGUCGAACGAGCUCUUCGGAGCUAGUGGCGGACGGGUGAGUAACGCGUGAGAAUCUGCCUCUUGGUUGGGGACAACAGUUGGAAACGACUGCUAAUACCCAAUGUGCCGUAAGGUGAAAGAUUUAUUGCCAGGAGAGGAGCUCGCGUCUGAUUAGCUAGUUGGUGAGGUAAAGGCUCACCAAGGCUUCGAUCAGUAGCUGGUCUGAGAGGACGAGCAGCCACACUGGGACUGAGACACGGCCCAGACUCCUACGGGAGGCAGCAGUGGGGAAUUUUCCGCAAUGGGCGAAAGCCUGACGGAGCAAUACCGCGUGAGGGAGGAAGGCUCUUGGGUUGUAAACCUCUUUUCUCAGGGAAGAAGAUCUGACGGUACCUGAGGAAUAAGCAUCGGCUAACUCCGUGCCAGCAGCCGCGGUAAUACGGAGGAUGCAAGCGUUAUCCGGAAUUAUUGGGCGUAAAGCGUCCGCAGGUGGUUACUCAAGUCCGCUGUCAAAGGCUAGAGCUUAACUCUAGAUAGGCGGUGGAAACUGAGAAACUAGAGUCCGGUAGGGGUAGCGGGAAUUCCCAGUGUAGCGGUGAAAUGCGUAGAUAUUGGGAAGAACAUCGGUGGCGAAGGCGCGCUACUGGGCCGGAACUGACACUCAGGGACGAAAGCUAGGGGAGCGAAAGGGAUUAGAUACCCCUGUAGUCCUAGCUGUAAACGAUGGAAACUAGGUGUGGCUUGUAUCGACCCAAGCCGUGCCGAAGCUAACGCGUUAAGUUUCCCGCCUGGGGAGUACGCACGCAAGUGU